rnacentral:rRNA from 1 species
GAUGAACGCUGGCGGCGUGCCUAACACAUGCAAGUCGUGCGGCAGCAUGCCCUUCGGGGUGAUGGCGAGCGGCGGACGGCUGAGUAACGCGUAGGAACGUGCCCCAAAGUGAGGGAUAACUGCCCGAAAGGGUAGCUAAUACCGCAUAUGAUCUUCGGAUUAAAGCUUUAUGCGCUUUGGGAGCGGCCUGCGUCCGAUUAGCUAGUUGGUGAGGUAAUGGCUCACCAAGGCGACGAUCGGUAGCUGGUCUGAGAGGAUGAUCAGCCAGACUGGAACUGAGACACGGUCCAGACUCCUACGGGAGGCAGCAGUGAGGAAUCUUCCACAAUGGGCGAAAGCCUGAUGGAGCAACGCCGCGUGCAGGAUGAAGGCCCUCGGGUCGUAAACUGCUUUUGUUAGCGAAGAAUAUGACGGUAACUAACGAAUAAGGGUCGGCUAACUACGUGCCAGCCGCCGCGGUAA